ensembl:lncRNA
CUUCUCCCUGUGAGUCACGGACACAGCUGGGUUCCGUGCAAACAGCCAACUGAAUUCACCGCUCCGACACGAGGAGAACGCGGAUGGGUGGAUACGGUGGUUUGAUCUAGUAGGAGAAAAAAAGAAAAAAUUGAGAAUCGAGUUUCCGUCUCAACAGAAAAUACACCGACUCCGUGAACCUCUCAGGCCAGAACCCAACGGACCCGGUGAAGGUUCCUGAGCGGCGGGCCGGCCGAGGAGGAGAGAAGAUCUGUGGGAAAACUCCAGACUCACCGGCUGCUCGCUGUGUGUCGCUGGACAGAAGCUGCAGGCGCACAAAGCCAUCCUGGCAGAACCGUGUGGAGAUAAAUGACGUGGAGCCAGAUGUCUUCAAAGAGAUGACGUGCUUCAUCUACACAGGCGAGGCCCCCAACCUGGACAAGAUGGCCUGCUGGCUGCAGCUGACAAGUACGCUCUGGUGAGGCUGAAGGUGGUGCACCAGUCUUGAGGGUGGAGAACGCCGCCGAGAUCCUCGCCAAGAUCCUCGCCAAGAUCCUCGCCGACUUUAUCGACUGAGACCGUUGAUCUCCAGAACUACUAAAGUUUCAAGCUUUUUUGUUCAUUUCGGUCUCACACACACACACACACACACUUCUACACUUAGCUUUUGCUCGGAG